rnacentral:tRNA from 1 species
UCCUGGUUAGCUGAGUUGGUAGAGCGCUCCACUUGUAAUGGAGAGGUCCCGGGUUCGCUACCCGGACCAGGCG